AUGAACGCUAGCGGCAGGCUUAACACAUGCAAGUCGAGGGGCAGCGGGAUGUAGCAAUACAUGCCGGCGACCGGCGGAUGGGUGCGUAACGCGUAUGCAACCUACCUUAUACAGGGGAAUAACCUUUCGAAAGGGAGACUAACACCCCAUGGUAUUGAUUUAAGGCAUCUUAGAUUAAUUAAAUAUUUAUAGGUAUAAGAUGGGCAUGCGUAUGAUUAGCUAGUUGGUAAGGUAACGGCUUACCAAGGCGACGAUCAUUAGGGGUUCUGAGAGGAAGGUCCCCCACACUGGUACUGAGACACGGACCAGACUCCUACGGGAGGCAGCAGUGAGGAAUAUUGGUCAAUGGGCGCAAGCCUGAACCAGCCAUGCCGCGUGCAGGAAGACGGCCUUAUGGGUUGUAAACUGCUUUUACAUAAGACUAACCGUAUAUUUGCGAAUAUACCUGAAUGUAUUAUGAGAAUAAGGAUCGGCUAACUCCGUGCCAGCCGCCGC
rnacentral:rRNA from 1 species